UACGGAGGGUGCAAGCGUUAUCCGGAUUUACUGGGUUUAAAGGGUGCGUAGGCGGGCCUUUAAGUCAGUGGUGAAAUCUCCCCGCUCAACGGGGAAACUGCCAUUGAUACUAUUGGUCUUGAAUUUAGUUGAGGUGGGCGGAAUAUGUCGUGUAGCGGUGAAAUGCUUAGAUAUGACACAGAACACCGAUUGCGAAGGCAGCUCGCUAAACUAAUAUUGACGCUGAGGCACGAAAGCGUGGGGAUCAAACAGG
rnacentral:rRNA from 1 species